rnacentral:rRNA from 1 species
AUUGAACGCUGGCGGCAGGCCUAACACAUGCAAGUCGAACGAGUGGCGGACGGGUGAGUAAUGUCUGGGAAACUGCCCGAUGGAGGGGGAUACCUACUGGAAACGGUAGCUAAUACCGCAUACCAUGGGCUGUGCCUAGAUGGGAAUAGCGUGUAGGUGGGGUAAAGGCCACCCAAGGCGACGAUCCCUAGCGGGUCUGAGAGGAGGCCCAGCCACACUGGAACUGAGACACGGUCCAGACUCCUACGGGAGGCAGCAGUGGGGAAUAUUGCACAAUGGGCGCAAGCCUGAUGCAGCCAUGCCGCGUGUAUGAAGAAGGCCUUCGGGUUGUAAAGUACUUUCAGCGGGGAGGCGUUACCCGCAGAAGAAGCACCGGCUAACUCCGUGCCAGCAGCCGCGGUAAUAC